UACGAAGGGGCUAGCGUUGCUCGGAAUCACUGGCGUAAGGUGCGUAGGCGGUCUUUAAGUCAGGGUGAAUCCUGGAGCUCAACUCCAGAACUGCCUUGAUACUGAAGAUCUUGAGUUCGGAGAGGUGAGUGAACUGCGAGUGUAGAGGUGAAUUCGUAGAUAUUCGCAAGAACACCAGUGCGAAGCGGCUCACUGGCCGAUACUGACGCUGAGCACGAAGCGUGAGCAACAGG
rnacentral:rRNA from 1 species